AACAGCUGCUGAGCAAGUGCUGAGUAGGGCAUCAGGAAGCAGUACAAUGCUAUUCUUACAGGCUCGGAAGCUGUGGGAGACAGCUGAGGAUCCUCACCUGCUAGCCUCCUUGACCUCCAUAACCUGGUUGGCAGAGAAGACAUAAUUCCAGAGUACUGUGCUCACGCAUUUAAUACCCUGGCUGAGCUCACACUCUGUGCCAGGCCCUGAAGGGGCUGGUGUAGAAACCCUAACAAAGCACGACCUCCGUGCUCAGGAGGGUCAAGGUCUAGCAGAGAAGACAGAGGACAGUCAUGUGGUGGGUAUGUGCCUAACGGGUCUGCAAAGUGCUGUGGGUCAUCAGGCAGCCCACUGAUUAGCAGGGCUUCAUCUGUGGAGGACUGCCUCUGUGCCCAGGACUCUUCAAAGUGCUGGACGUGAAUGAACUCAUGUACGCCUCACUCAAAACCCAUUGUACAGAUCCCCGAGGCACCUGGAACAUAUUGCCAGAGGACAGCGGGACAGGCCUGCUGAGCUUGUAGCCCAGUUUCUGGUUCAGUUUAGUCCUGGAUGCCAGCAUUUGAUGAAAUUGCAACAGAGAAGUUAAUUAACUGGCCCAAGAUCCCACAGCUCAGAAGUGGCAAAGCCAGCAUUUCAAUCCUGAGGCAUUUAUUCCAGAAGCUACUCUCUUCAUAUCACUACUGUGCUUCAGAUUUUUAACAUGUGUCUGAAUAUCUGUCGUCCAACUCCAACUUAAACAGGUAGCGUCAUACUUAGCCACUUCCCAAUGCCUUGCUUUUC